CGUAAACCCCUGUCAUUUGCGAACAAACCCUGCAUUUUAACAUGGUGCAGGCUGAUUGUAGCGAAAGAGGAAGGGACGGCUAACUCUGUGC
rnacentral:rRNA from 1 species